rnacentral:rRNA from 1 species
AUUGAACGCUGGCGGCAGGCUUAACACAUGCAAGUCGAGCGGGGGAAGGUAGCUUGCUACCUAACCUAGCGGCGGACGGGUGAGUAAUGCUUAGGAAUCUGCCUAUUAGUGGGGGACAACGUUUCGAAAGGGAUGCUAAUACCGCAUACGCCCUAAGGGGGAAAGCAGAGGAUCUUCGGACCUUGCGCUAAUAGAUGAGCCUAAGUCGGAUUAGCUAGUUGGUGGGGUAAAGGCCUACCAAGGCGACGAUCUGUAGCGGGUCUGAGAGGAUGAUCCGCCACCCUGGGACUGGGACACGGCCCAGACUCCUACGGGAGGAAGCAGUGGGGAAUAUUGGACAAUGGGGGGAACCCUGAUCCAGCCAUGCCGCGUGUGUGAAGAAGGCCUUUUGGUUGUAAAGCACUUUAAGCGAGGAGGAGGCUACCGAGAUUAAUACUCUUGGAUAGUGGACGUUACUCGCAGAAUAAGCACCGGCUAACUCUGUGCCAGCCGCCGCGGUAAUAC